rfam:Myotis brandtii contig321768, whole genome shotgun sequence.
GCCUGCCUGGCUCAGUGGUUGAGCGUCUGCCUAUGAACCAGGAGGUCACAGUUUAAAUCUGGGUCAGGGCA